UACAGAGGGUGCGAGCGUUAAACGGAAUUACUGGGCGUAAAGCGUGCGUAGACGGUUUCGUAAGUCGGGUGUGAAAUCCCCGGGCUCAACCUGGGAAUUGCAUUCGAAACUGCGAGGCUAGGGUACGGAAGAGGGAAGCGGAAUUUCUGGUGUAGCGGUGAAAUGCGUAGAUAUCAGAAGGAACAUCAGUGGCGAAAGCGGCUUCCUGGUCCAGUACCGACGUUCAGGCACGAAAGCGUGGGGAGCAAACAGG
rnacentral:rRNA from 1 species